AAUGAACGUUGGCGGCGUGGAUUAGGCAUGCAAGUCGAGCGAGAACCCCGCAAGGGGGGACAGCGGCAAACGGGGUAGUAAUGUGUCGGAACGUGCCCAGAGGACGGGGAUAGCGGCGGGAAACUGCCGGUAAUACCCGAUGAUCUCGAGAGAGCAAAGGUGUGAUUCCGCCUUUGGAGCGGCCGACAUGGUAUUAGCUAGUUGGCGGGGUAACGGCCCACCAAGGCUUUGAUGCCUAGGGGAUGUGAGAGCAUGAUCCCCACCAUUGGGACUGAGACACUGCCCAGACACCUACGGGUGGCUGCAGUCGAGAAUCUUCGUCAAUGGGCGAAAGCCUGAACGAGCGACGCCGCGUGCGGGAUGAAGGCCUUUGGGUUGUAAACCGCUGUCGAGGGGGAUGAAGGCAUUCAGGUACUCCUGAAUGUUUGACAGAGCCCUGGAGGAAGCACGGGCUAAGUUCGUGCCAGCAGCCGCGGUAACAC
rnacentral:rRNA from 1 species